UUACAAUGAAGAGUUUGAUCCUGGCUCAGGAUNAACGCUAGCUACAGGCUUAACACAUGCAAGUCGAGGGGCAGCAUGGGCUUAGCUUGCUAAGCCCGAUGGCGACCGGCGCACGGGUGAGUAACACGUAUCCAACCUUCCGGUAACUCCGGUAUAGCCUUUCGAAAGAAAGAUUAAUCCCGGAUAGUAUGGUGAUUCCGCAUGGUUUCUCCAUUAAAGGAUUCCGGNUACCGAUGGGGAUGCGUUCCAUUAGGCAGUUGGCGGGGUAACGGCCCACCAAACCUAGGAUGGAUAGGGGUUCUGAGAGGAAGGUCCCCCACAUUGGAACUGAGACACGGUCCNAACUCCUACGGGAGGCAGCAGUGAGGAAUAUUGGUCAAUGGGCGGAAGCCUGAACCAGCCAAGUAGCGUGAAGGAUGACUGCCCUAUNGGUUGUAAACUUCUUUUAUAAGGGAAUAAUUGUGGGUACGCNNNCCNNUUUGCAUGUACCUUAUGAAUAAGGAUCGGCUAACUCCGUGCCAGCAGCCGCGGUNAUACGGAGGAUCCGAGCGUUAUCCGGAUUUAUUGGGUUUAAAGGGAGCGUAGGCGGGCGCUUAAGUCAGCUGUGAAAGUUUGGGGCUCAACCUUAAAAUUGCAGUUGAUACUGGGUGCCUUGAGUGCAGUAUAGGCAGGCGGAAUUCGUGGUGUAGCGGUGAAAUGCUUAGAUAUCACGAAGAACUCCUAUUGCGAAGGCAGCUUGCUGGAGUGUAACUGACGCUGAUGCUCGAAAGUGUGGGUAUCAAACAGGAUUAGAUACCCUGGUAGUCCACACAGUAAACGAUGAAUACUCGCUGUUUGCGAUAUNCUGCAAGCGGCCAAGCGAAAGCGUUAAGUAUUCCACCUGGGGAGUACGCCGGCAACGGUGAAACUCAAAGGAAUUGACGGGGGCCCGCACAAGCGGAGGAACAUGUGGUUUAAUUCGAUGAUACGCGAGGAACCUUACCCGGGCUUGAAUUGCAACCGAAUUAUCCGGAAACGGGUAAGCGCAAGGCGGUUGUGAAGGUGCUGCAUGGUUGUCGUCAGCUCGUGCCGUGAGGUGUCGGCUUAAGUGCCAUAACGAGCGCAACCCUUAUCCACAGUUACCAUCAGGUGAUGCUGGGGACUCUGUGGAGACUGCCGUCGUAAGAUGCGAGGAAGGGGGGGAUGACGUCAAAUCAGCACGGCCCNUACGUCCGGGGCUACACACGUGUUACAAUGGGGGGUACAGCAGGCAGCUCGGCGGNGACGCCCGGCCAAUCCCUAAAUCCCCUCUCAGUUCGGACUGGAGUCUGCAACCCGACUCCACGAAGCUGGAUUCGCUAGUAAUCGCGCAUCAGCCACGGCGCGGUGAAUACGUUCCCGGGCCUUGUACACACCGCCCGUCAAGCCAUGAAAGCCGGGGGUACCUGAAGUGCGUAACCGUCCAGGAGCGCCCUAGGGUAAAACCGGUNAUNGGGG
rnacentral:rRNA from 2 species